rnacentral:lncRNA from 1 species
CAGACAGAGGAAGAGCCGGAGAUGAAAGGAGAGAAAGGAGGGAACAGAGACGUCGUAAUGAAGGAGUGUCUGCAACAAAAAAAAGGAGCUGCUGUUGUGAAUACACUGCUGCAGUGCCUUUCAGAGGCCUGUAGUUUUAAACUGGUAAUAUUCAUAGAGUCGAGGGGUAGGCAGGACCCGUAUCAAUGCCUCUCUGCCAGAUCAAAACCCUAUGAUCCUCUGGCCACCUCGCUCCUGAAUGUUUUGUUACCUACAGGGACAGCCAAAGAACCUUUAUGGUGAAGAGAAGAAGAGUAGAAAAUAAGGAAGCCAAGAGAGCAGAAGAGAGCGAGAAGUCCCCCUCUGUCCUUUCCUCCUCGGCUACGAAAUGUGCAAAAACAACUGUGCUGGAGGUUAGCGCCGAUACGAUCAGAGGCCAUUUAUUCCAGGCCGUGUGGCUAAUGACCCCUAACUGAUGCUAGCAGUUGCUGGGCCGCGGGACAAGAGAAGAUAAGUAACCUUGUAUAUUACGGUUCGAGGGACCCGAGCUUAGCCUAAUGAGUGUCAAUGGGCAAGUCAGCAUGAGUCAUCCCGUUAGGACUGGGUCGUAUUCAUUAGGGCUACAUCCUCCAGUUAGGACUGGGUCGUAUUCAUUAGGGCUACAUCCUCCCGUUAGGACUGGGUCGUAUUCAUUAGGGCUACAUCAUCCCGUUAGGACUGGGUCGUAUUCAUUAAGGCUACAUCAUCCCGUUAGGACUGGGUCGUAUUCAUUAAGGCUACACCAUCCCGUUAGGACUGGGUCGUAUUCAUUAGGGCUACAUCAUCCCGUUAGGACUGGGUCGUAUUCAUUAGGGCUACAUCCUCCCGUUAGGACUGGGUCGUAUUCAUUAGGGCUACAUCAUCCCGUUAGGACUGGGUCGUAUUCAUUAAGGCUACAUCAUCCCGUUAGGACUGGGUCGUAUUCAUUAGGGCUACAUCAUCCCGUUAGGACUGGGUCGUAUUCAUUAGGGCUACAUCAUCCCGUUAGGACUGGGUCGUAUUCAUUAGGGCUACAUCCUCCCGUUAGGACUGGGUCGUAUUCAUUAGGGCUACAUCCUCCCGUUAGGACUGGGUCGUAUUCAUUAGGGCUACAUCCCGUUAGGACUGGGUCGUAUUCAUUAGGGCUACAUCCCGUUAGGACUGGGUCGUAUUCAUUAGGGCUACAUCCCGUUAGCACUGGGUCGUAUUCAUUAGGGCUACAUCAUCCCGUUAGGAGUGGGUCGUAUUCAUUAGGGCUACAUCAUCCCGUUAGGACUGGGUCGUAUUCAUUAGGGCUACAUCAUCCCGUUAGGACUGGGUCGUAUUCAUUAAGGCUACAUCAUCCCGUUAGGACUGGGUCGUAUUCAUUAGGGCUACAUCCUCCAGUUAGGACUGGGUCGUAUUCAUUAAGGCUACACCAUCCCGUUAGGACUGGGUCGUAUUCAUUAAGGCUACACCAUCCCGUUAGGACUGGGUCGUAUUCAUUAAGGCUACACCAUCCCGUUAGGACUGGGUCGUAUUCAUUAGGGCUACAUCCCGUUAGGACUGGGUCGUAUUCAUUAGGGCUACAUCCCGUUAGCACUGGGUCGUAUUCAUUAAGGCUACACCAUCCCGUUAGGACUGGGUCGUAUUCAUUAGGGCUACAUCAUCCCGUUAGAACUGGGUUGUAUUCAUUAGGGCACACGGUAGCAAAACGUUCUGCAACGGAAAAUUAAGUUCAGGUGGUCCCUUCCUUUUUCAGUCCGCUUUCCUCUGUUUGGUGCCUAAUAAUGAAUACGACCCAGGCAGUCAUAUAGCGUCCCUUCUUCAGAGCUACUUAUCCUCGUACACAGAGGGGGAGACUGAGGGGAGCUUCA